UAAAAAGCUCGUAGUUGGAUCUGUGUAUCGGACGGCCGGUUCGCUGCCCGCAGCGUUUAACUGGUCGGUCCGGACGUCCUGCCGGUGGGCGUCCGCGCAAGCGGGCGCCCUAACAUCCCUCCGGGCUGCUCUUAACCGGGUCGCCCGGUGGGCCGGCACGUUUACUUUGAACAAAUUUGAGUGCUCAAAGCAGGCCUUUGGUUGCCUGAAAACUGUGUGCAUGGAAUAAUGGAAUAGGGCCUCGGUUCUAUUUUGUUGGCUUUUCUGAACUUGAGGUAAUGAUUAAUAGGGACAGACGGGGGCAUUCGUAUUGCGACGUUAGAGGUGAAAUUCUUGGAUCGUCGCAAGACGAACGGAUGCGAAAGCGUUUGCCAAGAAUGUUUUCGCUAAUCAAGAACGAAAGUUAGAGGUUCGAAGGCGAUCAGAUACCGCCCUAGUUCUAACCAUAAACGAUGCCAGCCAGCGAUGCGCCGAAGUUCCUCCGAUGACUCGGCGCGCAGCCUCAAGGAAACCAAAGCUUUUGGGUUCCGGGG
rnacentral:rRNA from 1 species